UACCAGCACCCCGAGUGGUCGGGACGUUUUAUUGGGCCUAAAGCAUCCGUAGCCGGUUCUACAAGUCCUCCGUUAAAUCCACUGCUUAACAGAUGGGCUGCGGAGAUACUAUAGACUAGGAGGCGGAGAGGCAAGCGGUACUCAGUGGGUAGGGGUAAAAAUCCGUUGAUCCAUUGAAGACCACCAGUGGCGAAAGGCGGCU
rnacentral:rRNA from 1 species